rnacentral:tRNA from 2 species
GGGCUAUUAGCUCAGUGGUAGAGCGCGCCCCUGAUAAUUGCGUCUCUGGUUCAAGUCCAGGAUGGCCCA